rnacentral:rRNA from 1 species
CAGUCGCCGCGGGAAUACGAAGGGGGCUAGCGUUGUUCGGAUUAACUGGGCGUAAAGGGCGCGUAGGCGGGUUUUUAAGUCAGAGGUGAAAUCCCAAGGCUCAACCUUGGAACUGCCUUUGAUACUGGAAGUCUUGAGUCCGGGAGAGGUGAGUGGAACUGCGAGUGUAGAGGUGAAAUUCGUAGAUAUUCGCAAGAACACCAGUGGCGAAGGCGGCUCACUGGCCCGGUACUGACGCUGAGGCGCGAAAGCGUGGGGAGCAAACAGGAUUAGAUACCCCAGUAGUCCCUGUCUCUUAUAC